AGUAACGAUAAAAUGAGUGAAAAUCUCAUUCGCCGAAAACCUAAGGUUUCCUGGGGAAGGCAAAUCCGCCCAGGGUUAGUCGGCACCUAAGGCGAGGCCGAAAGGCGUAGUCGAUGGGAAUGCAGUUAAUAUUCUGCAGCCUGGUGGUAGUGACGGAUCUCGUAAAUUGUACAUCCUUAUUGGAUUGGUUGUGCAGUGAAGAGGUUCCAGGAAAUAGCUCCACCAUAUAGACCGUACCCCAAACCGACACAGGUGGUCAGGUAGAGAAUACUAAGGCGCUUGAGAGAACUCGGGUGAAGGAACUCGG
rnacentral:rRNA from 1 species